GUCUUGAGCUGUCUCUUAUCACAUGCCUCUCCCUGCUGGCUGUUUUGCCUCUUCCUUCAAGAUCAGGAACCAAGUUGCUUCUCCAAAACACUUCUGUCUGUUAGUGAUAGUCCCAUAUGUAUUCACACCUGAAGAUUUCAGUGUUUUCUGAAGACUGCAAUGCAUACCAACAUGAUAUUUACAGCUGCUUGAGACUCUCCACUGGCUGUGGGCAGAAGCAGAGGUUGCAGGACUUCCUCCAUCAAAAUGCUAAUGGGCCAGCAUCAGAGCUGGGACUCCAGGGAAAGAACUGGGCUGUUCAUCUGUGCACCUCCAUCCAUAAUAUCACACAGUUGGUCUUUUCUCUUGUUUCUCUUAUGUGUCAUUUUGUUAAUACAGUUGUGUGAUAUCUUAUGAAGACUGAAAAUUCAAGAGAGUUUUGCUCUGCCCCACACUCCUGAUGCCCUGCUGCACUCUCAGACAGUUGCCUUUAUCAGGGUGGGAUUUAUCACUUGUUACCACUGAAAUCAGCAUGGGCAAAACCUUCAUCACAGGCAACAGGAAGAGCCUGGGCCUUCAGUUUCAUGGCGGAAAGUGGCUGGGGAUGCUGGAGUUCAGCAAGGCUGGGAUGGGCAUGGGAAGUCAGGAUGUUUUAGGUCCAGUAAUACACUUAUAAUUGUGUGAAAGAGGGAGAGUAGUCUUGACAAUGACAGGAGGUUGAGAGACAGGUUUCAUUUUGGACUUUGUGAGAGGUGUUGAAAGGUCACACAGUCUCUUGCUACCUGACCUUUCCAUGUACAAAGUCAGAGGAAUUAUAAAGAAUAGGAGACAGGGAGUAUCAGUCUUGCCUACUUGUGUUGCCAACUUUGUGUAUCACUAAUUCUGAUGUUUGCACGGUGUUUUGUACUAUGAUGGUCUGAUUGAAAUCAGUGCCUGCAGACCUCCCUGUAACAUAAUUAAGAAAGUUCUCAGUCUUCAAGUCUUUUGUUCCAGACUGUAUGUUCAUGUCUCAACUUUUAAACAGGUCAGUCCACAUCAAGUAUGUUUGUUUUUUAUUGCACGCAACUCUAUUCCAUAGUAUCUCAUGCCAUGAUAGGUUUGACUAUAAAACUAACUAUUAAAACAUCUGCUCUUAUUGUUGGAGGGUGUUUUUGGCAGGUCAGUACUAGGCAUGGGGACUAUGCUGAUUUAAAAGCUAAAGAAAGAUGUAGGUUGAAAGAAAGCAGAUUCUCUCAUUUAACCUAUUUUGAAUCCCUGGGGCUACUGUUUGGCUUAGUGUAGUUCUGAAAGCCAAGAAAAUGUUACUCACUAUGCUCAAAAGAUUGAUCACAGCGUUUGUGUCCUGAGGCCCAAAUCCUAAAGCUCUUAUUCAGAGAGAACUCCCAUUGACUUCAAAGGGAAUCCUGUCUACAGAAAAGCUUCAGAAAUAGUGAUGCACUGGCUCACAAGGCUCUAUAAAAACUUUUUAGUAUCUUUAAAGAAGACUUAUCUGUCAAAGAUCCAACAGAGGUGUCCAACCAGCUGCAAGUCAUGUCAUUGAAAUGACCAAAACUGUAAAACCGUGGGUGUAAGUAGUUAAUUCUUGUCUAUAGUAAUGCAAGCAAGAGUUAGCAAGAGUCAGCAGUCAGAACUUUUCCAUAUUGUUCAGAGCACAAGAAGUGAAACUAGGCAUGCUUCUGCAUGGAGAUGUAAAAUUAUCUUUUCCUGGUACUAUCUUGGAGAAAUUGCAGCCUUAAAAACACACACAUGUUGCUUCUUUGUUUUCAUAUACUAAACCAAUUUCUUUUAUUCUGGGCACUAUUUUUCUUGAAGCCUUUUAGAAGAGGCUUCCCUGUUGCAAAUAUCUGCCUAAAUGGUAGCAUAAAAAAUAGUUCAAAAUAAAAUGUUUCAAAUAGAGGAAAGCCCUUGAAUA
ensembl:lncRNA